UACGUAGGGUGCGAGCGUUAAUCGGAAUUACUGGGCGUAAAGCGGGCGCAGGCGGAUUGUUAAGCAAGAUGUGAAAUCCCCGGGCUUAACCUGGGAAUGGCAUUUUGAACUGGCAGUCUAGAGUGUGUCAGAGGGGGGUGGAAUUCCACGUGUAGCAGUGACAUGCGUAGAUAUGUGGAGGAAUACCGAUGGCGAAGGCAGCAACCUGGGUCGACACUGACGCCCAUGCACGAAAGCGUGGGGAGCAAACAGG
rnacentral:rRNA from 1 species